CAUGCUUGAGACACCAGCUCUGGCUUUGCCUUUCUACAGAAACACUGAGCACUCGACGCCCAGGGAGCCCGUUUCCCGCGGCGACAGGGAUACAUCGCAGCUGUUUCCAUGGCAACAGAAUUGGUGUUUGGUAGUACUGAUCCAAUUUUUUUAUCCAAAAGAGCAGAGUGGACAUUGUGCCUCCUUUUGUGUUCUGUGGAGGAAAUAAAGUCAUACACGUUUGAAACUAAACCAGAGCAAAGCUGAGGGUGCUGCAGCAUCAGUAAUGGCAAAUGGAGGGGAGAAGCUACCAGAGAGCCGCGAAUAAGACCCCAGUCAUGUCUGAAAACUCCCAGGAAAUCCAUCAGCCGGCAGACCCCUGGGGCACACAGGCAGACAUGGCACUGAUCUCAGAACAGUAUGUGGUACUCCCUGGAGAGCUACUAGUGUGGGAGGGCUUUUCACCUAUCAAUGAACACCCCCACCCCAUCAGCCCACACUAGCAGUCAUAUCUCAUGUGCUGUAAUUCCCAGAAGCACUGCGGUAGGCAACAUGGAGCUGCAGAGCAGGGCUGUGAAAUUCCAAUGAGGGUCUGAAAUGUGAGGUCCAGGGAUCUGGACAGUAAUUUUUUUGUUCUAGACAUACUGACAUUAUUGUAGUAUCUAUGCUAUUGUGAUGUUAAAGCUGAAUUUUCAGCAUCAUUACUCAGUCUUCAGUGUCACACGAUCCUUCAGAAAUCAGUCUAAUAUGCUGAUUUUCUGCAAGAAAAUUUUCUUGUUUUUAUCAUCAGUGUUGAAAACAAGUCAUUUCUUCCCAAUAUGCAUUCAAAUGAUCGUUUCUUGUGAUUGAAAAUAAACACAAUGACAAAUACAUAAAAUCAGGAUAUCAUUUUUUUUUUUGUUCAGCAAAACUGCCUGGCUCUACUGGAAGAAUCUCAGCUAAUCUAUCUGUCUAUGCAGGGGGGAAUACAGCACUACUGGAGAACAGUAUGUGAAAUAGCUGAGAGCCCUAGAGGUCUGGCACCAUGUUUCUACAGAACAACACAAAUUAGUUUUAGCGCACGCAAGCAACUUCUGUACCUCCACCCCAGUCUCAUAGGCAGAUCCAUCAAGCAGUGUGACUUUCACAGGUGCAGUCUUUGGUCUUUUGGAGGAU